AAAUUGAAGAGUUUGAUCAUGGCUCAGAUUGAACGCUGGCGGCAGGCCUAACACAUGCAAGUCGAGCGGUAGCACAGAGAGCUUGCUCUCGGGUGACGAGCGGCGGACGGGUGAGUAAUGUCUGGGAAACUGCCUGAUGGAGGGGGAUAACUACUGGAAACGGUAGCUAAUACCGCAUGAUGUCGCAAGACCAAAGUGGGGGACCUUCGGGCCUCAUGCCAUCAGAUGUGCCCAGAUGGGAUUAGCUAGUAGGUGGGGUAACGGCUCACCUAGGCGACGAUCCCUAGCUGGUCUGAGAGGAUGACCAGCCACACUGGAACUGAGACACGGUCCAGACUCCUACGGGAGGCAGCAGUGGGGAAUAUUGCACAAUGGGCGCAAGCCUGAUGCAGCCAUGCCGCGUGUGUGAAGAAGGCCUUCGGGUUGUAAAGCACUUUCAGCGGGGAGGAAGGCGA
rnacentral:rRNA from 1 species